rnacentral:tRNA from 1 species
CACUACGAAGCUUAGAGCGUUAACCUUUUAAGUUAAAGUUAGAGACUAUUGGUCUCCAUAGUGA